GAUGAACGCUGGCGGCGUGCCUAAUACGUGCAAGUCGAGCGAACGGACGAGAAGCUUGCUUCUCUGAUGUUAGCGGCGGACGGGUGAGUAACACGUGGAUAACCUACCUAUAAGACUGGGAUAACUUCGGGAAACCGUAGCUAAUACCGGAUAAUAUUUUGAACCGCAUGGUUCAAAAGUGAAAGACGGUCUUGCUGUCACUUAUAGAUGGAUCCGCGCUGCAUUAGCUAGUUGGUAAGGUAACGGCUUACCAAGGCAACGAUGGAUAGCCGACCUGAGAGGGUGAUCGGCCACACUGGAACUGAGACACGGUCCAGACUCCUACGGGAGGCAGCAGUAGGGAAUCUUCCGCAAUGGGCGAAAGCCUGACGGAGCAACGCCGCGUGAGUGAUGAAGGUCUUCGGAUCGUAAAACUCUGUUAUUAGGGAAGAACAUAUGUGUAAGUAACUGUGCACAUCUUGACGGUACCUAAUCAGAAAGCCACGGCUAACUACGUG
rnacentral:rRNA from 1 species